rnacentral:rRNA from 1 species
CCUACGGGAGGCAGCAGUGAGGAAUAUUGGUCAAUGGACGAGAGUCUGAACCAGCCAAGUAGCGUGAAGGAUGACUGCCCUAUGGGUUGUAAACUUCUUUUAUAAAGGAAUAAAACGAGGCACGUGUGCCUUGUUGCAUGUACUUUAUGAAUAAGGAUCGGCUAACUCAGUGCCAGCAGCCGCGGUAAUACGGAGGAUCCGAGCGUUAUCCGGAUUUAUUGGGUUUAAAGGGAGCGUAGAUGGGUUGUUAAGUAAGUUGUGAAAGUUUGCGGCUCAACCGUAAAAUUGCAAUUGAUACUGGCAGUCUUGAGUACAGUUGAGGUAGGCGGAAUUCGUGGUGUAGCGGUGAAAUGCUUAGAUAUCACGAAGAACUCCGAUUGCGAAGGCAGCUUACUAAACUGCCACUGACAUUGAUGCUCGAAAGUGUGGGUAUCAAACAGGAUUAGAUACCCGUGUAGUC